GCAUUUUUCAUAAACGCUGCUAAAGGUAAAGCAAUAGCGGUGUUUAUGAGAAAAACGCCACAAAUAUCCUUUUAUUUUUAAGGAAAUGACGUCGUUUUUGAUAGCCUUAGUUUCAUCCCUAAAUCAGUUUCCCGAAACCCCUUAUUUUUUUCCCAAAUCCCUUAGUUUUUCCCCAAAUCAAAUUCCCCAAAUCCCUUGGAUUUUCCCCGAAUGUCUACUGCAUUGCCGUCGACAGUCCUCUGCCGCAUCGCUGUCGACCGUCCUCUAUUGCAUCGUCAUAAACACCUCUUCUAUAUAAACAUUUCACCAGAAGCAGCAACCCAGAAAAGAGAGAGAGAGACAGGCAAGACAAACAACUCUACAAGGAGAAAAAAAAAAAAGAAAGAAGAUAAAACAGUAAUUUGGUAAUUUUUCAUUUCAUUCUAUAUUUUUUAUAUCUAUUUUUUUUUUAAAUUCGGAUAAUAUUCUUAAUUUGGUUGAAUUUUACUAGUCGGGACUAUAAUUUUUUAGGGUUUUUUUUGGGUUCUUUUUUGAAGUAUAAUUGAUUAUGAGAAGCUGAAAUCUCUUUGUUCUUU